UCCUCCGUGGCGCAAUUGGCUAGCGCGUUCGACUGUUAAUCGAGAGGUUGACAGUUCAAGCCUGUCCGGGGGAA
rnacentral:tRNA from 2 species